GGCGGCGUGGAUAAGACAUGCAAGUCGAACGGGUUUAGUUUCGGAGCAAUUCGGAAUUAGGCCAGUGGCGAACGGGUGCGUAACACGUGAGUCAUCUGCCUGAAAGUGGGGGAUAGCUCGCCGAAAGGCGAAUUAAUACCGCAUAUGCCCAGAAGCAAUUCGGGGUAAAGCCGGGGCAACCUGGCGCUUUUAGAGGAACUCGCGGCCUAUCAGCUUGUUGGUGAGGUAACGGCUUACCAAGGCUUCGACGGGUAGCUGGUCUGAGAGGACGACCAGCCACACUGGAACUGAGACACGGUCCAGACACCUACGGGUGGCGGCAGUCGAGAAUUUUUCUCAAUGGGGGAAACCCUGAAGGAGCGACGCCGCGUGGAGGAUGAAUGCUUUCGGGUUGUAAACUCCUGUCAUUUGGGAACAAAGCCUUACGUUAACUGCGUGGAGGUUUGAUAGUACCGAAAGANGAAGAGACGGCUAACUCUGUGCCAGCAGCCGCGGUAAUACAGA
rnacentral:rRNA from 1 species